GACGAACGCUGGCGGCGUGCUUAACACAUGCAAGUCGAACGGAAAGGCCCUGCUUUUGUGGGGUGCUCGAGUGGCGAACGGGUGAGUAACACGUGAGUAACCUGCCCUUGACUUUGGGAUAACUUCAGGAAACUGGGGCUAAUACCGGAUAGGAGCUCCUGCUGCAUGGUGGGGGUUGGAAAGUUUCGGCGGCUGGGGAUGGACUCGCGGCUUAUCAGCUUGUUGGUGGGGUAGUGGCUUACCAAGGCUUUGACGGGUAGCCGGCCUGAGAGGGUGACCGGCCACAUUGGGACUGAGAUACGGCCCAGACUCCUACGGGAGGCAGCAGUGGGGAAUAUUGCACAAUGGGCGGAAGCCUGAUGCAGCAACGCCGCGUGCGGGAUGACGGCCUUCGGGUUGUAAACCGCUUUCGCCUGUGACGAAGCGUGAGUGACGGUAAUGGGUAAAGAAGCACCGGCUAACUACGUGCCAGCAGCCGCGGUGAUACGUAGGGUGCGAGCGUUGUCCGGAUUUAUUGGGCGUAAAGGGCUCGUAGGUGGUUGAUCGCGUCGGAAGUGUAAUCUUGGGGCUUAACCCUGAGCGUGCUUUCGAUACGAGUUGACUUGAGGAAGGUAGGGGAGAAUGGAAUUCCUGGUGGAGCGGUGGAAUGCGCAGAUAUCAGGAGGAACACCAGUGGCGAAGGCGGUUCUCUGGGCCUUUCCUGACGCUGAGGAGCGAAAGCGUGGGGAGCGAACAGGCUUAGAUACCCUGGUAGUCCACGCUGUAAACGGUGGGUACUAGGUGUGGGGUCCAUUCCACGGGUUCCGUGCCGUAGCUAACGCUUUAAGUACCCCGCCUGGGGAGUACGGCCGCAAGGCUAAAACUCAAAGGAAUUGACGGGGCCCCGCACAAGCGGCGGAGCAUGCGGAUUAAUUCGAUGCAACGCGUAGAACCUUACCUGGGUUUGACAUGGAUCGGGAGUGCUCAGAGAUGGGUGUGCCUCUUUUGGGGUCGGUUCACAGGUGGUGCAUGGCUGUCGUCAGCUCGUGUCGUGAGAUGUUGGGUUAAGUCCCGCAACGAGCGCAACCCUUGUUCACUGUUGCCAGCACGUUAUGGUGGGGACUCAGUGGAGACCGCCGGGGUCAACUCGGAGGAAGGUGGGGAUGACGUCAAGUCAUCAUGCCCCUUAUGUCCAGGGCUUCACGCAUGCUACAAUGGCUGGUACAGAGAGUGGCGAGCCUGUGAGGGUGAGCGAAUCUCGGAAAGCCGGUCUCAGUUCGGAUUGGGGUCUGCAACUCGACCUCAUGAAGUCGGAGUCGCUAGUAAUCGCAGAUCAGCAACGCUGCGGUGAAUACGUUCCCGGG
rnacentral:rRNA from 1 species